rnacentral:rRNA from 1 species
CAAACUAGGGAUUGAUACCCUAGUAUUAUAGAAUGAUAAGUUGGGAGUACUUUAAAUGUUGGAAAAACUAAAUGAAAUGGCGGUAUUUUAAGCUUUUUAGAGGAAUUUAUUCUAUGAUUGAUAUGACUCAAAUAUCUUACUUGAUUUGGUUAGGCCAGUUUGUAUAUCGCUAUCAUUUUACAAUGUUAUUAGGCUAUUGUAGGGAGAAACUUUAUUUAGAAUGUUAGGUCAAAAUGCAGCGUAAAGUUGAGUUUGAAAUGAAUUACGUUAAUUUUUAUUAGAUUUUUAGGAAGAUUUAAAAGUAGGAUUUAAUAGUAAAUUUAAAUUAUUAUGUUAAAUGAAUAGUUCUAGGAUAUGCACACAUCGCCCGCCCCUCUCAUUCGA